rnacentral:lncRNA from 1 species
AUAGUUUUUUCUUUUCCUUUGUGCCAUAUCUUUAGCUAAGUCAACACCGAUUCAAGGAUUUGUAGGUCUUUGGGGACAACUUCCUUCCAUGGGAUUUUACCUCUACCCCAUCCUAUUUUCAUACCUUCCACUACUACGGUUUCACACGUAUGGACCGGGAAUUCUGUAGGUCGACACAGGACAUGAACAAACCAUCUCAAGUGGCAUUUUUCUUAUUUUAUCCUCAAUGUGUGCUACUUUCACCUUCUGACAAAUGUGGUCAUUUUUAAUCUUAUCCAAUCUUGUGUGACCACACAUCUGUCUUAGCAUUCGUAUUUCUUUAAUACUCAUCUUGUACAAAUGCUUGAACUUUAGCAGCCCCACAUUCGUUACCAUACAACAUAGUAGGUCUAAUAGUUGCUUUAUAGAGCUUACAUUUCACCUUGGUAGGCAUCUUUCGAUUACAUAACACGCUUGUAGCACUUCUCCAUUUCAACCAUUUGAUUAUAAUAACAGCUUCAUCUAUUUGUUCUAUUCUCUUGAAAUAACGAGCCUAAGUAUCUUAAAAAUGUUGCACUACAGUUGUAUCUAGUCUCACCUCAACUUCGCUCUUUUCAUGCUACCUAAAAUUACAGUGCAUAUACUCAGUCUUACAUCUACUUAG